rnacentral:rRNA from 1 species
CCCUUAGAUGUUCUGGGCCGCACGCGCGCUACACUGUUCGACGCAGCGAGUCUUAACCUUGACCGAAAGGUUUGGGUAAUCUUCAGCAAAGUCGAACGUGAUGGGGAUCGAUCAUUGCAAUUAUUGAUCGUGAACGAGGAAUCCCUAGUAAGUGCAAGUCAUCAGCUUGCGCUGAUUACGUCCCUGCCCUUUGUACACACCGCCCGUCGCUACUACCGAUUGAAUGGUUUAGUGAGAUCUCUGGAUUGACGCUGGCUAGGGGGCGACCCUUGGCCAGACUGUUGAGAAACUGCUCAAACUUGAUCAUUUAGAGGAAGUAAAAGUCGUAACA